rnacentral:rRNA from 1 species
AUUGAACGCUGGCGGCAGGCCUAACACAUGCAAGUCGAACGGUAACAGGAUGAAGCUUGCUUCUUUGCUGACGAGUGGCGGACGGGCGAGUGAUGACUGCGUAACUGCCUGAUGGAGGGGUAUGACUACUGGAAACGGUAGCUAAUACCACAUAACGUCGCAAGACCAAAAAGGGGGAGCUUCGGGCCUCUUGCUUUUCGGUGUUCCCAGGUGGUGUUUGCUAGUAGGUUGGGUAACGGCUCACCUAGGCGACGAUCCCUAGCCGGUCUGAGAGGAUGAACAGCCACACUAGAACUGAGACACGGUCCAGACUACUACGGGACGCAGCAGUGGAGAAUGUUGCACAAGGGGCGCAAGCCUGAUGCAACCAUGCCGCGUGUAUGAAGAAGGCCCUCGGGUUGUAAAGUACUUCUAGCGGGGAGGAAGGGAGUAAAGUGAAUACCUUUGCUCAUUGACGGUACCCGAAGAAGAAGCACCGGCUAACUCCGUG